ACCAUGGGCCUGAUCCAAAGCUCACUGAAGUCAAUAGGAGUAUUUCCAUUGACUUCAGUGACCUUUGGAUCAGGUUCCAUCCUUGU
rnacentral:pre_miRNA from 1 species